AGAGUUUGAUCCUGGCUCAGAUUGAACGCUGGCGGCGUGCUUAACACAUGCAAGUCGAUCGGUAACGCGGGGGCAACCCUGGCGACGAGAGGCGGACGGGUGAGGAACGCUUGGGAAUCUGCCUAUCAGCGGGGGACAACCCGGGGAAACUCGGGCUAAUACCGCAUACGCUCUACGGAGGAAAGCCGGGGACCGCAAGGCCUGGCACUGAUAGAUGAGCCCAAGUCGGAUUAGCUAGUUGGCGGGGUAACGGCCCACCAAGGCGACGAUCCGUAGCUGGUCUGAGAGGACGAUCAGCCACACUGGAACUGAGACACGGUCCAGACUCCUACGGGAGGCAGCAGUGGGGAAUAUUGGACAAUGGGGGAAACCCUGAUCCAGCGACGCCGCGUGGGUGAAGAAGGCCUGCGGGUUGUAAAGCCCUUUCGGUAGGGACGAAAGCUCUCGACCUAACACGUCGGGAGGUUGACUUAACCUACAAAAGAAGCACCGGCUAACUCUGUGCCAGCAGCCGCGGUAAUACAGAGGGUGCGAGCGUUAAUCGGAAUUACUGGGCGUAAAGCGCACGUAGGCGGCUUGGUAUGUCGGGUGUGAAAUCCCCGGGCUCAACCUGGGAACUGCAUCCGAAACUGCCUUGCUCGAGUAUGGGAGAGGGAAGUGGAAUUUCCGGUGUAGCGGUGAAAUGCGUAGAUAUCGGAAGGAACAUCAGUGGCGAAGGCGACUUCCUGGACCAAUACUGACGCUCAGGUGCGAAAGCGUGGGGAGCAAACAGGAUUAGAUACCCUGGUAGUCCACGCCCU
rnacentral:rRNA from 1 species